rnacentral:rRNA from 1 species
UAAGCGGAGGAAAAGAAACUAACAAGGAUUCCCCUAGUAACUGCGAGUGAAGCGGGAAAAGCUCAAAUUUAAAAUCUGGCGGUCUUUGGCCGUCCGAGUUGUAAUUUAGAGAAGCGUCUUCCGCGCCGGACCGUGCACAAGUCUCCUGGAAUGGAGCGUCAUAGAGGGUGAGAAUCCCGUCUUUGGCACGGAUGCCCGGUGCUUCUGUGAUGCGCUCUCGAAGAGUCGAGUUGUUUGGGAAUGCAGCUCAAAAUGGGUGGUGAACUCCAUCUAAAGCUAAAUAUUGGCGAGAGACCGAUAGCGAACAAGUACCGUGAGGGAAAGAUGAAAAGCACUUUGGAAAGAGAGUGAAACAGUACGUGAAAUUGUUGAAAGGGAAACGCUUGAAGUCAGUCGCGUCGACCGAGACUCAGCCUUGCCUCGGCUUGGUGUACUUCUCGGCCCGACGGGUCAGCGUCAAUUUUGCCCCUCGGAUAAUGGCAAGGGAAAGGUGGCACCUUUACGGGUGUGUUAUAGUCUCCUGUCGCAUGCGAGGGGUGGGACUGAGGAACUCAGCGCGCACCUUGGUGUCGGGGCUUCGGCCCACGUCACGCGCUUAGGAUGCUGGCGUAAUGGCUUUAAACGACC